rnacentral:rRNA from 1 species
AACGGACGCUGGCGGCAUGCCUAACACAUGCAAGUCGAACGCCUGUAGCAAUACAGGAGUGGCAGACGGGUGCAUAACACGUGGGAACCUACCCUUGGGUUCGGAAUAACCGCGGGAAACUGCGGCUAAUACCGGAUACGUCCUCUAGGAGAAAGAUUCAUCGCCCUUGGAGGGGCCCGCGUCGGAUUAGCUAGUUGGUGAGGUAACGGCUCACCAAGGCGACGAUCCGUAGCUGAUCUGAGAGGAUGAUCAGCCACACUGGAACUGAGACACGGUCCAGACUCCUACGGGAGGCAGCAGUGGGGAAUAUUGGACAAUGGGGGCAACCUUGAUCCAGCAAUGCCGCGUGGGUGAUGAAGGCCUUCGGGUUGUAAAGCCCUUUUGGCAGGGACGAUGAUGACGGUACCUGCAGAAUAAGCCCCGGCUAACUUCGUGCCAGCCGCCGCGGUAA